rnacentral:rRNA from 1 species
AGAGUUUGAUCCUGGCUCAGGACUAACGCUGGCGGCGUGCCUAACACAUGCAAGUCGGACGAAUUUUUCUUUGUAGCAAUAUAGAGAAAGAUGAGUGGCGCACGGGUGAGUAACACAUAGACGAUCUGCCUUUCAGACAGGGACAACUCAGGGAAACUUGAGCUAAUACCGGAUAAGACCCCAUGAAGGGAUUCACGUGAUCAAAGGGGGGAGCAAUCUCCCGCUGGAAGAUGAGUCUAUGUCCCAUCAGCUAGUUGGCGGGGUAAGGGCCUACCAAGGCGAAGACGGGUAGCCGGCCUGAGAGGGUGAACGGCCACACUGGAACUGAGACACGGUCCAGACUCCUACGGGAGGCAGCAGUGAGGAAUUUUCCGCAAUGGGCGCAAGCCUGACGGAGCGACGCCGCGUGAGGGAUGAAGGUUUUCGGAUCGUAAACCUCUUUUACUAAGGAGAAAGGCAUCUAUGCGAACAACAUAGAUGUUUGAUAGUACUUGAUGAAUAAGCCCCGGCUAACUACGUGCCAGCAGCCGCGGUAAUACGUAGGGGGCGAGCGUUGUCCGGAGUUACUGGGCGUAAAGCGCGUGUAGGCGGUUGUUUAAGUCAGGUGUGAAAUCCUAAGGCUCAACCUUGGAACUGCGCCUGAGCUGAGCGACUGGAGUCUUGGAGGGGCAGCCGGAAUUCCUGGUGUAACGGUGAAAUGUGUAGAUAUCAGGAGGAACACCUGUGGCGAAAGCGGGCUGCUGGACAAUGACUGACGCUGAGACGCGAAAGCGUGGGUAGCAAACAGGAUUAGAUACCCUGGUAGUCCACGCCGUAAACGAUGAGAGCUAGCUGUAGGCGGUAUCGACUCCGUCUGUGGCGCAGCCAACGCAUUAAGCUCUCCGCCUGGGGAGUACGGUCGCAAGAUUAAAACUCAAAGAAAUUGACGGGGGACCGCACAAGCGGUGGAGUAUGUGGUUUAAUUCGAUGAUACGCGAGAAACCUUACCUGGUCUUGACAUCUCUGGAAGCUUUAAGAGAUUAGAGUGUGCCUGCUUGCAGGAGCCAGAAGACAGGUGGUGCAUGGUUGUCGUCAGCUCGUGUCGUGAGAUGUUGGGUUAAGUCCCGCAACGAGCGCAACCCCUAUUGUUAGUUGCUACGCAAGAGCACUCUAGCGAGACUGCCGUUGACAAAACGGAGGAAGGUGGGGACGACGUCAAAUCAUCAUGCCCCUUAUGUCCUGGGCUACACACGUAAUACAAUGGCGUUUAACAGAGGGAAGCGAAACUGCGAAGUAGAGCGAAUCCCUAAAAGACGUCUCAGUUCGGAUUGCAGGCUGCAACUCGCCUGUAUGAAGUCGGAAUUGCUAGUAAUCGCGGAUCAGCAUGCCGCGGUGAAUACGUUCCCGGGCCUUGUACACACCGCCCGUCACACCAUGAGAGCCGGGAACACCCGAAGUCCGUAGUUUAACCGCAAGGAGGACGCGGCCGAAGGUGGGUUUGGUAAUUGGGGUGAAGUCGUAACAAGGUAACC